CAGUUCGUCCAAGAGAAAGCGAUGGCAGCUUGUUGAAGCGAACGCGUCGACAAGAUGUGGCGUGGGCUCGUCGUGGAAUGUCACGCCGAUGGCAGCGAGGCUUCCGGACAUUGCAGAAAAUGGGGUCGAAAUUCUUCUUCUUGGUCGGUUUUUUACGGCAUCCUUGAGCUAGUAAUUUGACUCUGUCAUCAUCGGUAAGCUAGAUAUGGACUUCUCCGAGUAAUGCUUUCGUGGUGAUCUGCGGGAGGCGGAUGAAUUCAUCAUUGGGCUCCCUGUAUCUUCUGAUAGAGAAGAGUCCAUCCAGUCUGAUAAAGUUUGCAGCAGCGUUGCUUGGAAGACUCGCGGCGGGGAGGUGGAAUGAUUGCAUAUGUUUUGUUGAUUGUUAUCUAUGUUUGUCUCUCUACGUCUGAUGGUACAUGAGUGGUGAUUUUGAUAUGUGACCAUAUACUGCUGUGCUCCGUUUCAAAUGCAUUUAGAGACUGCAUGUCUACUGGUUUAGUGAUGGGUCUUGACUUGCUUUGUAAGUUGCUCCCAGUUUCUGCUUAACAUUUUCAUGAUAUGGUAAGGAUUUGCCUCUGCUGGUUUGGCUCUAACAGUACACCCAAUAAAAACUUCAAUUAUGAGCUUGUUUUUUUUGGGUUUAUAGGAACAGAUUUGAAUUGCCGAACUUGGGUUUGGCACCACUCAUGGGAAAUUAAUUUUAAUAUUGCCCGCUUUCCAUGGAUAUUGGUGUUAAUGUUCUUCAAAUUGUGCCGAGCCUUUUCCUACAACAUUUUAGGUUUCGCAUAGAUCAUGUUUGUGUAAGAACCAUGAUGGCGUGGGAUCGGCAUUGCUUGAAAGCUGCCAUUGUUGGCCAGGCUAUUUAUCUCUCUAAAAUUGUCUACCUCUGGGACAAAAACCCCUUCCUUGCCUACUUCCAUUUAGAUAUGAAUUUGAUUUAAGCUUUGGAGUUCAGGGGUUGGAGAGUAUAUCUGCAGGAUGAGCAUAGCACAUCAGCUGAAGCCACUUGCCAUAUGAUCGACAUAUAAUGUCCGUUUGACCAAGUGAUUCGCUCGUUACUUGCUUUAAGAUGGACUUGUUUCUCGGAACGUCAAUGUACUUUGCUAAAGAUGGUCUCGAGGAGCCUUCAUCUGUAGCCUUGGAUAGUACUCUAUGCCAUUCAAGGGCAAGCUGGGAAGGCUUGAAGUUUAUAGAGUUACUGAACUGAGGAAUAUAUGCAAUACAGGAGAGUAAUGUAGUGGAAAAAUUGAGUGAGAAAUUGAUUGCACGUCUCUCUCUUCGAUUCUGCUACUCUCUUGAUUCUUGAUUCCCCUUUCAUGUCCCUACUUUUGGACUUAACAUUGCUGUAAGCUUGUCCUUAUGCCUCUUACAUUCGACAGGCAUGAUGACACAUUUUCAAGUACUAAGAGUUGGUUCAUGCUAUGCUAUUCAUAUCUUGUACGAAAGAUAGAUUCUUCAAGGAGUUUUUCAUUGCAAGUGGAAAACAAGAUGCUUCUUGAGUACUAUACUAGUCCAGGCCUAGAGGAUGAUGGUCAUCUCAAA